rnacentral:rRNA from 1 species
UACGGAGGGGGCUAGCGUUGUUCGGAAUUACUGGGCGUAAAGCGCACGUAGGCGGCUUGGUAAGUUAGAGGUGAAAGCCUGGAGCUCAACUCCAGAAUUGCCUUUAAGACUGCCGAGCUAGCAGGUGAGAGAGGUGAGUGGAAUUCCGAGUGUAGAGGUGAAAUUCGUAGAUAUUCGGAAGAACACCAGUGGCGAAGGCGACUGACUGGACAAGUAUUGACGCUGAGGUGCGAAAGCGUGGGGAGCAAACAGG